rnacentral:rRNA from 1 species
UACGUAGGGGCCUAGCGUUGUCCGGAUUUAUUGGGCGUAAAGAGCUCGUAGGCGGUGUGUCGCGUCGGCCGUGAAAACCUGGGGCUUAACUCUGGGCUUGCGGUCGAUACGGGCAUCACUGGAGUUCGGCAGGGGAGACUGGAAUUCCUGGUGUAGCGGUGAAAUGCGCAGAUAUCAGGAGGAACACCGAUGGCGAAGGCAGCUCGCUGGGACGGUACUGACGCUGAGACGCGAAAGCGUGGGGAGCGAACAGG